AGUGAACGCUGGCGGUAGGCCUAACACAUGCAAGUCGAACGGCAGCACAGUAAGAGCUUGCUCUUACGGGUGGCGAGUGGCGGACGGGUGAGGAAUACAUCGGAAUCUACUUUUUCGUGGGGGAUAACGUAGGGAAACUUACGCUAAUACCGCAUACGACCUACGGGUGAAAGCAGGGGAUCUUCGGACCUUGCGCGAUUGAAUGAGCCGAUGUCGGUUUAGCUAGUUGGCGGGGUAAAGGCCCACCAAGGCGACGAUCCGUAGCUGGUCUGGGAGGAUGAUCAGCCCCCCUGGAACUGGGCCACCGUCCAGACUCCUACGGGAGGCAGCAGUGGGGAAUAUUGGACAAUGGGCGCAAGCCUGAUCCAGCCAUACCGCGUGGGUGAAGAAGGCCUUCGGGUUGUAAAGCCCUUUUGUUGGGAAAGAAAAGCAGCAGGUUAAUACCCCGCUGUUCUGACGGUACCCAAAGAAUAAGCACCGGCUAACUUCGUG
rnacentral:rRNA from 1 species